ensembl:lncRNA
CACCAAGGACCAGCAGGGCUCCCCCUGCUCCGUCCCUUCCCCUUGAGAACAAGAGAAAGGAAGAAGCAAGCAGAAGAAGCCCAGCCAUACCUUGCCACUCAGACGGCAGCAAUUGGAACCGCGGUCGUCUCCGUGCUGAGACAUGGCCGCUGAAGGCUCAGAGGAUGAUGAAGUUCCCAGGCCUCUGUGCACAGGAACUUCCCCGGCCCUUGCAAAGAGCUGGCUUCCCUCUUCCUGCGACUGCCUCGAUCCCAAAAUCUCCCUUGGGACAGGAACCCUGCAGAGAGUACCGACGAGUGCACACGCGGUGCUUCUGACGGGCUCUCACAGGGUGAUCUGUUCCACGGAAGGCCCAGAGCUCAGCCUCGGUGUGCAGCACGCUCACCAGAGCACCAGCUCUGCUCACCAGCUGUGGCGGAAACGCUGCCAGCCCAGCAGUGAUUGUGACCUCAGCGAGUGCCCGCAUCGCUUCCGUGCUUUCAUCAUAAGCGAAGGAAAUGGACGACUCCCUGAUCCACAUCUUAGGAAAUCACCACCAGGGUCACCCAGUGGGGUUAUUUGAAUAAUGGAGAAGUGAAGAUGACUCUUGUGCAGCCCAGUAAAAACCAGUCAAGACCAGUAUGGCCUCCGAGUGGUCAAUGGAGUCCCAGGGGAACCCGUAGAAAACGAAACCCAGGGCCUGUGCCAGCAUCUGUGUUUGGGGCUUUGAGUCCCAGGGCUGAUGUCAGCCUCUCCGGCUGUGGCUUUAAGUCCUAGGGCCAGUGCUGGGCUCCCCGCCUGUGUCUGUGGCCUCAGGCCCUUGGCUGCUUCUGGCCUCUCUAGCUGGGGCUGUGGCUUUAAGCCCCUGGACUGGUUGCAGCCUUUCAGGCUGUGGUUUUGGUCCCCAGGACUGGUACCAAAUUUGAAGAAACCAACAGGAGGCUCACCCAAUGGUGUUCUGUGAAGCAUCAGAAGAGAGAAAUACACACGAUUGUUGUGUAGCCAGGCUGGGUCACCCUCUCACUCAGGCGCUGCAUGACUGGAAGCAGGAUACGUUUCCCCCAGGCUGCUUCCAGACUGGGGUCAUUGGAGACAAUGGCUCUAUGGGGUCUAUGGGGACAUUGGAGUCAAUGGGGUCAUAGGGGUCUAGGGGGUCAUUGGGUUCAAUAUGGUUACUUGGGUCAGUAGGGGUCACUGGGGUCAGUGUGGGUCAUUGGGGACAUUGGUGUUAAUGAAGUCAUUGGGAUCAAUGGGGUCAAUGGAGUGAAUGGGGAUAAUGGGGUCAGUGUGGGUUAUUGGAGACAAAUGGGUCAUUGGAGUUACUAGGGUCAUUGAGGCCAUUGGGGGUCACUGGGGUUAAUGGGGUCUGUGGUGUCAAUGGGGUUACUGGGGUCAAUGGGGUCAUGUGGGGUUAAUGGGGUCAGUGGGGUAAAUGUGUUGUUGGGGUCAUAUGGGGUCAUGGGUAUCAUUAGAAACAUGGGCAUUGGUGGGGUCAAUGGGGUCCUUGGGGUCAUUGGGGUCAAUGGGGCCAUGUGGGAUCGUUGGGAUCAUUGGGGUUAUAAGGUUCAUGUGAUGUCACUGAAGUCACUGGCUCAAAGGGGUAAUUGGGGUCAGUGGAGCCAAUGGGGUUAUUGCAGGCCAGAAGGGUUUGGGCUUCCAAGCAAUCACCAAGCUUUUGGAUGAGCCAGCCCUCUGCUUUUUGUGAGGACAGACCCCAACGAGCCCACAUAACCCAAAUAACCUCCUUGACCCCCACAGACAAGUCCUCCUUGGAAAGCCAUCUCGGCAAGGGCAGAAUAGCGCUGUUCUUGGGCCGCAGCACUCCAUGGCCAGGCGCUGCUCAGACGCUGGGGCUGCAUUUCCUCCUGGGCACCCACACAUGCUGCGAUUCCCCUGCAGGUUCCUGCCGGGUUUGUGGCUUCCUGCUGGGGAACUCCUCAUCUUCUUCUGCAACUGCCCCCCUAAAGUCCCUACUGCGUUCUCUGGUGCCGUACUGGCAGAUGCCUCAGCGUUCAUGAGCCUGGACUUCCUGCCUCCCAUCAGCAGCUGCUCCUUCAUUCAUACUGCAAUACCGUCCACUUCCAGCACCAGCAGAGCUGCCAGGCAGAGAUGGGAAACGUGGGAUGAAUGCAAACGCAGAAGCCCAAGGCUGUCCCACCACCACGUAUUGCAGCCUUGGAAAGUCAGCUGCAACUACAACCUCUGUCAGAAUCAAAACGGGCACCGUACAUUAAGGGUGACCUCUGAACUGAAGGAAUUACCACAGUCAGAAAUAAAUACUGAAAUUGCUCAUUGAUCUGUAGGUGGUUACGGCUGUAUUCUUUGGCUUUGGGGAAAAUGUGGACUUGGAAUUGAAGGAUACAAGGAAAAGGAGCAGCACUUGGCAACUCCUGCAAACUGAGCAGUGCGGGGAAGAUUGUGUCAUUUCUUCUCCUGGCCUCUCAUUGGUCAGAUGUAGCUCUGUCCCACCCCUCUGGACUCUCAUUGGUCAGCAACAGCUCCAUCCUAUCCCCACAGCCCUCUUAUAUAUCAUUCUUUGCUUCUUGGAGCCCCUUCCCGCUGCUGCCGCUGCUUUGGGGGAGGGUCCGCUCUGCUCCCAGCUCAACGCCGGUCAGUGCCGACCUCUGAUUGGUCAGCGAGAGCUCGGUCCCACUCCUGGUGGACUCUACAUGGUCAGCAGCAGCUUCAACCCGCCCCUGUUAGCCUCUCAUUGGUCAGAUGCAGCUCCAUCCCUCCCCCCGUUGUUUCUCAUUAGUCAGCAGCAGCUCCGUCCCACUCCCAUCCAGCCUCUCAUUGGUUAGCGGCAGCUCUGACCCAUGCCGGCCUCUGAUUGGUCAGCAGCAGCUCUGACCCACCCCCGGUGGCCUCUAAUUGGUGAUCGGCAGCUCCAGCCUGCUCCUGCUGGCUCUCAUUGGUCAGCAGCAGCUCUGAUCCACCCCCGGUGGCCUCUCAUUGGUGAUCGGCAGCUCCAUCCCGUCCCUUCUGGCCUCUCAUUGGUCAAUGGCAUUUCUGGCCCUCCUCCAGUCUCUGAUUGGUGAGCGGAAGCACUGCCUUCUCCAAUUGACUGAGGGGCAGAGUGCGCCGUUGGCAACCGGCUCGGAAUCGCCCAGCUGUCCCCUCAGACGGCAGCCCGUGGCCGUCCCCUUCGCCGUGGGAUGCGGGGAUUUGGGGCGGCUGAAGGAGUCGGGGCCCCCACCGCUGUAGCGCUGCUGCCCCCAUUAGGGCCUGGAACCCCGAGCCUCCAGCUCUGCUCGCGGUGCCCCCCAAGGCUGAGGUGGUCUGUGGGUGUAGGGGCAGUGGCGGAGAUGUGGUGGGGAUGUGGGAGCUGAGGGGCUUUGGGGGCUAUUGGGGGAUGUGGGAGGAUAUGGGGCUGUAGGGUGCUGUGUGGGGAUCUCGAGGGAUAUGGGGAUAUCGGUGGGUUUUGGGAAUAGAGGGGGAUGGAGGGAUGUGGGGCCACAGGGGUUGCUAUAGAGGGAUGUAGGGCUGUGCGUGAGUUGUAGGAGGAGAUGGGGCUGUAGGGGGCUGUGUUGGGAAUCCAGGGAGGGUGUGAGGGGCCAUGGGGAGGCCAGAGGGAGAAAUGGGACUGUAGGGGGUAUAGGGUAGGGCUUUGGGGCGACAGGGGGCUGUCGUAGGUUAUAGGGGUGGAUAUUGGGGGAUAUGGGGCUGUAGUGUUCUGUGGGGGCUAUCGGGAGGGAUGUGGGGCUAUCAGGGCCUUUAGGAGGGCUGUAGAGGUAUAUAGGGAUUUGCGCUGUUUGUUGGGGGAUAUGAGGCUAUAAGGUGCUAGGGUGGCUCUAUGCGUAUGUGGGGUUUUAGGGAGCUUAAUUGUGUCUCUAGGGGGGCUAUUGGGCUCUGGAAAGCUGUGGGGGACUGUAGAAGGGGUAUUGGGGUAUAUGGGAAAAGAGGGGGCUGUGGUUGGGAUCUAGAGAUCUGUGGGGAGCUUGUGGGGGAUAUGGGGCUCUAGGGUGCUGUGGGGUCUUUAGGGAGAGUUUUAGGGCUAUAUGGGGGAUAUAGGGAGAUUUGGUUCUCUAGGGGGCUGUGGGGGUAUAGGGGUGAUAUGGGUCUGUAGGGGGCUUUGGGAGGAGCUCCACGGUUCUCUGAGGGGUCUGUAAGGGCUAUAGGUGUGUUCGAGGGGGAUAUGUGGCUCUGGGGGUUUGUGGCAACAUGUGGGAGGGUUGCGGGUGCUAGGGGUUGGGGGGGGGCUCUAGGGCAGGAUGUUGUGCUGUAGGAGAUUGUGGGGGCCUGAGGGAGGAUAUAGGGUGUCUGUGGGGGGCUGUUGGGGGAUAUAGAGGAGAUAUGGAGUAUAGUAGGGUUCUGGGGGGAUAUGAGGUUGGAUAUGGGAGAGUGUGGGGAUCUCUGGAGAGGGUCUAGGGCCAGUGUAGGGCUGUGGGUAGCUGUAAGGGGUGAUGGGGCUUUAAAGGCUGGGGGACUGUAGGGAGGGUGUUAGGGCUGUAGGGGGGAUAUGGGGUUCUAUGGGGCUUUAGGGAACAGGGGAAUAAUAUGUCGCUGUAGGGUGGUAUUGGGGGAGCUAUAUGGUUCUAUGGGGAGGCUAUAGGAGGCAGUGGGAGAGCUAUAGCAAGUUUAUAGGUGGUUAUGUGGCUAUAGGGUUCUGUGGGUGGGCUGUAGGAGGGUUCUAGUAGGGUAGGAGGCUAUAGGGGGCUAUGGAGGAGAUAUAAGGAGACAUGGGGCAAUUGUGGGUUUUUAGGGGGCUGUGGUGGGCUGUGUGAGGGUAUAGGAUGAUAGAGGGCCGGAGAGGGUUUCUAGAGAGGGAUGUUAUGCUGGAGAAGGUAUGGGGGGCUAAAAUGGGGCUUUGGGGGUUACAGAGGGGCUGUGGUGGGCUAUUGGGGGAUAUAGGGAGAUAUGAGGCUAUAGGGGGUGUUUGGAGGAUGUGGUCCUCUAAGGAGCUGUGUGGGUCCACAGGAUGAUCUGGAGCUAUAGGGUGAUCUCUAAAGGGAUGUGGGGCUAGAAGGCUCUCCCUUCCUUCCUUUCCCCCCUUCCACAGCAGGGAGGGUGAAAUGCUAGUCAUGAAAUUGAAAUUGGAACUGAAGUUGUCUUGGAAUAGAAUAUGAUGCUUUUGUGGUCUUCCAUCUGAAACGUGUUUUCUCCUUGGGUUUAGGUAAUCUGUUUAUGUUUAAUGAUUAUGCUUAAUAAUCUAAUUUUGUUUCAUAAUGCCUUUUGAAAAGGUUUCAGUCUCACCGCGAGAUGCCUUCCAAGAGGCACUGCCCCUACUGCUGCAACGGCCCCAGUCUGGGACGCCCUUUUGUAAGGGGUUGUGUUGUUCGUUCUGCAGCUGACUUGGGUUUCUUCUGCCACUGUCCCAUGAAAGAGUUGAUUUGCUUCAGUCCAUCCCUGCUCCGUUCCUGGUUCAAGCCAAGCUCCAGUCCCUUCCCUGGUCUCAGUGGGAUCAGUUUGUUCUGUUCUCAUCCACUUACAGAAACAGAAGCUACCAACCCACCAAACCCUGGGACAGGUAUUUCCCUACAGAAGCAUUCAUGUCCUUCUCCUGGCCCCUUUGGCCAGUUCCCAGCUCUCCAAACUGAGGUGUACGGCUGCAGCCCAUCCCAUGGCUUCUUUGGGGCAGCUGUGGGGCAGCCCCACCCCGAGGAGGAGAUGCCUUUUCCCCACACGCAGCUGGUUCUACGGACACAUGGGGUGAGGACGUGGGGUUGUGGGUCACAUGGGGGUCCUGCAGGGUCACAGAGUUACAAGGUGAUGCGGGGCUAUGGGGUCAGGUGGGGUUCUGAGUCACAGUGAUGGGGUCAGAUGGGGUGACAUGGAGUUAGGGGUCACAUGGGUUGUAUGGUCGGGGUGAGGUGGGGGCAGGGAUCCCAGAGUUAUGGGCCAAAUGGAAUUGGGUCGCAGCGUGAUGGGGGCAGGCAGAGUCAGGGAGUCACAGGGUCAUGUGGGGGUAUGAUUCCCCCAGAGCUGUGGGUCGUGUGCAGCCAUGGGGUCACGCACAUACAGCGUGAUGAGGUCAUCUUGGGUUAUUGCUCAUGUGGGGUUACGGCUCAGGGCCCCACGUUUGGGCCACAGGGACGCCCAGUCCCCUCUCAGGAUGAAUUGAAACCACUACAACUCUCCCCCCCGCCCCCCACCCUUUCUCUUUUUACCUCAAAUUGCUCCCCACAUCCUCCCAUACCCCCUAUGUCUCCAUACUACCCCAUGUACCUGUUUCCCACCUGCAGCCCACAUCUUGUCUUCUCUUGGACAGCAUUCUGCUCCUGCAGCCUGUGUUCCCAUUUCCCCCGAUGUCCCUAUAUCCCUCCCACACCCCCCACAGAGCCCCAUAGCUCCUCAAGGACCUUUUCCCGGUACACCUCCCCCCAGCAACCUGGGACCUCACAGAGCCCCACAGUCCCCAGCAGCACCCCACGUCCCCCUCUGAGCUCCCACUGAACUCCCCUAUUUCCUCCUUCAGACAUCCUUAACCUCUUCAGCCCCGUCCGCCCCGGCUUCUCGGACUCCCACAGUUUCUGAGAGGACCGCCAUCACCAUCCCAGGAUCCCCAUAUCCCACCGACGAGGAACCCCACAGCAAUCCACAUCUCAGGAUGGGGCUCCAGCUUUGCCCCAAUGCAUUCAUUCAAGAGAGGAGAAUGAAGGAGCCUAAGGGGGCGCCUUUCCUCCUGACAUUGCCCACCGCCUGCGUGUUGGCUGUGCCGUGCCAGCAGCAUUUUGUCCUCGAGCUGUGAGUGCAGAUGCGCGUGCAAGGGAGCAGCGGAGGCUCCUGGGAACAGGAGAUUGCUGGGAGCGGCAGAACUCCCGCGAGAGUGCGGGAGAGCACAGGGCUGGGAAGCACAGCUCCGCAGCACUGCGCUCUGCACAACAGCCUGCAGGACGGCACGGAGCGCUGACAGAACCAGGACACAGCGCCAUAGCAGGCACUGCAAAGGAAACAGCUCCAUCCCAGCCGCAACAGUGACAGGCAGGCAGGCACUGGGGAGGGCUGCACGGCAGAGGGACGCCCUCUGAGUGCCACAACAUGGAGCGCUGUCUGCAAGCAGAACAGUGCCGGGAUGGCAGCCUGGUGGUCCUAAGCUGCAGAGAUGCUGCUCUGGACCAACAGCCUGUCAUUUUUUCAG